rnacentral:lncRNA from 1 species
CAUGGGAGCGGUUAAAGGCAGCUUAUAAUAUUCUGUUGUGCGUGAAAAUUUCGUAGUUGAAGGCUUGUUUUAGUGGUUAAGUGUGCUGAGAAGUGUUGGAGAAGUCCUGGGUUCAAACCUGGACUCUAGCAAAACUUUUGGUUUAAGGUGAAUCAAACCCUGGGUGUAGUAGGUAGGCCUUAAGAAUAUUGUUGGAGAAAUUGUGACACAAAAAGCCUUGUGGCUUAGUGGCAAG